ensembl:lncRNA
UAAAUACUUAAAAUACUCCCUCUGCUGCCAAAGCCUGCUUUGUUAUCCUCAAAGCUAGCCCUACUUGCUGAGAAGCAACAACAGAGGAAUUGAGCGCAGAGUGAAAGCUCCUUCCCCUUGAGUAUGCCAGUACUACAAGAUUGAGUUCUCUAGUUUUAUUUUUCAUUAGUGCUGAACCUGAUGCUUCUCUUGCCUAAGAUGUACAGCACAUAGCCAGAGAGAUUUCAGUGUGACUCUCCUGCCUCAGGGCAGGAUCCCCUUGCUCACAUCACACCUUAAAGCUCUGUCUGGCUUCUCACCGUGGAUGGAGAUUCAGAAGCUUCCCAGGUCAGCCCAAGCACUCAGCUCUCCUUUCAGUUGGGCACCUCCACCCAAAGACCUUUACUGCAAUUUAAGCCUAUUUUCUCUUCUGCUCUCCAUAGUACCCUACAAAGCAUUCACACUGCCUUCUUAACAAGAGUUUUUAGUACAUUCAGAGGCUCUCCUAAGCUAUCAUCCUCUCUAGACCUAAUCUUACUCAGGCAGUCUUUCCUCACAAAUCAUGCCCUAGAGCCACGAUCAAACCUGUUGAUUUCUUAAACGCUUUUCUCAUUUCCCUUUAUUUAUAGCUCACCUGCCACUAACUAUCCAGUUGUUCCUUCUCACUUAGCAGAAGCAUUUACUAAGAGAAAGGCUGUAAGGCUGUGCUCUCCUAUAUAUAGCCAAGGGCCAGACCCGCAGGUGGUAUAAAUUGGCACAGGGCUGUGUCUAAUCAAAGCAUUAAGUAAAUUUAAGGGGAAAGGAGAGUUUUUUUCUUCAUCGAUAGCUUAAGAGAUAGAGGGAAAAAAAAAAAAAAAAAGAUUAGGUCUGUUUUGCCUGUGGUUAAUUUGUUUGGUUUGGGGUUUGUUUGUUUGUUAGGACUCUCGUUUUGUUUAUAUAGGGAAGGGGGGCACUGUUUAGGGGCCUCGUGUGUUGUUGAAUUAAAGAAUCCAUGAGAGGCGCUCCUGGGUUUGUAAAGGACAGCUCGGCAUUGUCUUUCUGCUCGGAUGAGGUUGCUUAAAGUAAAACAAGCAGCAUCGUGGCGCAUCUCCCUGGAAAGCGGGCUUUCUUUACUGAGCCUCCGAUGUUUGAAAGGGGCUGUCCCACGGCUGCUCACCCUCCUGUAACAAUUAGGAGGCAGGGGUCACUCCGGGGGAAAAAAAAAAAAAAAGAAGUCAUUACCAGCAGCGCUGGGCUAACACGCUCCAAGAACCACUUAAAAGAGAGAGGAGAAUAAUAAGAAGUCGGAUGCCGCUCAGAUCGCCGCACCGACGCUGUCUGGUCCCCAGAGCACGGGGGGCUCCGGGUGGGGUCGGCACCGCCCGCAGGGGUGCGCGGGGCCGGACGGCGGCGGGCGACGAUGGAAUCCGGAGAAAGUGCGUCUCUCUCCCGGCUUACAAAAAGUUGACAUCGAGUCGGUUGAAAAGUAGGUUAAUUAGUAGUGUCUGACAGAGCUCCCCAGCAGUGACUUACUUCAGGUGCCGCAUAUUACUGCUACUCUGCUGAAAAAGGCUUUGUUUUCACCUAGCUUUGUAGCCUCGAGUGUCUGAAUAUUGAUUAACUCCGGGUAUUUGACUUCUUUGAAAUACGCUCGCAAUAUUCCGAUAAACCGCAUCCUUAUACUCGGGAUGUUCUUUAAAUGUAAUUAAAGUAUUAAAAGCGCUUUGCUGCUGGAAAUGUGGCCCUUGGCAACGAAGGGAGAAACCUUUGCCGUCAGAGUUUGCCGAUGUCCCUUAGCGAGGGGAUACGGUCAGCAAACUGCCGCGCAGGGACCUACCCCAGAGAGAGCUUUUCUAUCUUUUUCUCAUGGGAAGAAAACAAACAAAAAAAAAAACCGAAAUAUUUACAUUCCCCAGAGGGUCUCGGUGAGCUCGGUCGAGUCCCAUCCCCAUAUCUGGCCACGCAAAGCCAGAAAACCUUCCCACUUCCGAAAUGUCUGGGGAAUCGCCCCGCACGGCAGCACUCUCCAUCCUCCCCUUUGGGCGGCUGUCGCGACAGACGCGAUGUCGGGACGGAGGGGCGCACGGGGCGGCCGGACAGCCCCAGCCGCGGUCCCCGGGCGCGCAGCGCAGCGCGGCGCGGAGCGUUUUUCUAAUGCCAACCCCUGGAUGCGCUCGGCGUUUCAAAGGCCUCUGCUUGCAGGCUUCGUGGAUAAGAAGCAGAGGGUUCCUGGAAUCGGUUCAGAACGUGUUCUGAUGUACAAAUAAACUUCUGGAAAGUAUCUGGUGACUGUGCCCAAGCGCGCUGACCCGCCUCCCAUCGAUGGGAACAAAAUGAUAGCGUUCGACUUAAAGAAAGCCGCAGAACUUAAUUAAUUCGAAGCUUUAAUGGUUAUAGAAUCUGCAAAACGCUAGCAUUAAUUUCGACGCUGGCAUCUGGUUUCACUGAAAUUCAUGUCGAACGCGCACAUUACCCGGCUGCAGGAAGCGGGGAGCGGGCGCAGCCCGGGGCAGAGCGCAGCCGUGAGCGGAACCCGCGCACACGCGCACCCGCAGAGGGCAUUCCCCGUGGGACCCCUCUCUAUGCCCGGCCCGGCCCGGCCCGCACCUGGGCGCAGGGGGAGUCCGCAGCCGCCCCUCGGCGGGGUCGCUGUCACCCGUAUGUUCUCAGUAUCCCCGGGGCCUUUUAUACGCGCUUCCGAAAUCACGCAGCGGCGUGACUGGAGUCGGCUGUUUUUCCGAUUGGGAAAUCUCCGCUUUAAGGGAAAGAGUCUCCUUAAAUCAUGACAACGACAGACUUGAGAGAGAGAAUUGAUAAUGUUAAUAAAUGGAGUGUACUGGGAAGAUGGCAUUCAGAAAGGGGCAAGAUGUCCCAGAUUUAAUUUUUGCUGGUGAAACAAGACAAUUCUAAAAGGCCACUUAUGAGACGAUUCUUAAUAAACAUUUGUACUGUUUUGGAAGCUGAGCCAUAACUCAUCCGCACUAAAAUUUAACGACUUCGAUUCAUCAGAAAAGUUUGUGCUUGGACUCCGCUUCAAAGCCAGAGCGAGAGCCUCAGUGACAGCCUAUGCUGAUUUUCCCCUCCUGAUUUGCAGUGGGUUGGUGUGUUCUCGUGCCCAGACAGAAGAUUCAUAUUCAGAUCCCCAAGUCAUAAAAUUUAGGCUUUCGCAUUUAUCUUUUCCAACCCGAAACUUGACUAAACCGGAGUCCGGGAUCAAAAGCGUGCAAGAGCUAUCGGUUUCCCCGGGGACUGCAAAAGCCACUUGCCGCGGAGUUAUUCUGACAAUGUUGUGGGCAAUUUGGGCAACAUUGGGCAACACGUGUUGUCCCUGGGAACCGGGAUGGAGGUUUCCCUGGAGGUUUCCCUGUCAGCUCUGCUCUGACAAAAGUUGUGCUCCGGGCUGGGAAAGGCGAGCGAGGCUCACGUCUGGCAUCCUUCGCGUACCUUCGGGAGGGAUACAGGAAGAACAGAUCUUGGGAAGGGAGAGAAGGGUGUUUGCUCGUCUUGCUGCUCCCUCCUUGACUUUGGGUUUCUCCCCUUUAUUGUCUUAAGUGACGUUAAACGCGGAGAGACAAGUGCAGAGCUCAAGGCGUGUUCGAGGUGGCGGCAGCGGUGCUCUGCCCGAGCAAGGAGCGCGGCACCGCUUCCUAAAAGCGCAUCCUUCCCUCGGGGUGCGAGGGACGAAACGCAGCUGGGUUGGAGAGGGACGGCCCGCUGUGAGCCCCAUCCCGGCCCGACCCGGCCCAGCUUGCUCAGCCCCGGCACUUCGGCCGCCUGUCCCAAAAGGCUGUUAUCUUCCCUUCGCUUGCCCGGCUCGGCCCCAUCGCGAACCAGUCUCACGGGCCGUGGGCAGCGGGACCGGACCGGCAGCGAACAGCCCGACUCGGGUCCAUUCUCAACACUUUAAAUGAAAAGACCCCGGCUCGAUACUUCGUGAUCUUUGUAUUUCCUUCCCUCGGCCAAGGUGGCAUCCCCCUGUCCUCCCCGCUCCGUCUAAGCCAUGUCCGUGGGACUCCCACUGACCCUGGUCUGGUUUUUAGAACGCACUUAAGCUGCAGAAGUUGCUGACACAUAAAUAAGCCAUCAAGGCUCUCGGAAGCUCAUGAAUCUUUGACUGCGGUAUGUGUGGGGACUUACACACUUGUUCCACGUCUUGAUACUUUAAAAACUUUCACAAAGACGACUCCGGACAAAAAGCACCUCUGUUUAACAAGAUAAUUCUUGCUUUCAGUUUUAUUUCUAUUUUCAACUUCCUAUUCUUUUGUCCUGUGACAUGGCGCUUUCUUCCCCCUCGGGGACUCCUUUCUCUUCUUUCUCCCCUCCUAUUCUGAACUGUUUUACAGCCCCGCUUUGUUACUGUCAGGAAAAAAUGUCUGGAGAGCCCUGUCUCCUAAAGAAGGAACAGAAAAGGGAGGACUGGGGCUGCAAUGUUGCCUAUGCAUGCAGAACAUCCCAAUCUGUUUUUGUGCAUUGAGUUGGGGAGAGGGCAGCAGGGAGCGUGCACCCAGCCUCAGCCCGGACAAAGGGAGGCCGGACAGCUGCGCACCCGCCACAAAAGAUUCACUCUUCUGUCAACUCUGUUUACUUAGUGUUGUUUCUGACCUCUGUGCUACACUUGUUGCUAAUACAUAUGCUUAUCAAACCAUUUUAAUUGGCUUUCUUCAUAACAUUAGUCCCAGCACUUUUUUCUGCGUGUGUUUCCAAACAACUUAAUUGACUUCUCCAAUAUUCAUCUUCUCGGGUUCUAUAACGACGGGUUCCUGCCCUCCCCCCACCCCCGCUCCCCGGCCCCCAGGAUAAGAAAAGGUCCAGAGGUGUCCGCCACGGGCAGAGCUUCCCCUUCCCGCAGGGGUGUCUUCACAGGGAUUCGGGCCCGAAGGGACACCCCGCUCCCCGAGGGACAGCCGUGUAGCAGAUAAGCGAGCUGCCUACCCCUAGCUCUUUUAAAUGUGUCUUUGCUUUGUUUUAUGGCACCCGGCCGAGCGAUGCCGGCCCGAGCGGACCCGGCACCACCCUCGGAACCGUCAAUGGGACCGGGAGCGCGGGGCCGAGCAGCGCGCACCGUCCGCAGUGCCCUGCGGGAUCCUUAUGGUCCCGCGUUCCGCAGGGCUGGGGUACGGGGGGCUGCCUCCUACAUCACCCAGCCCCCAACCCCCGUAGCCUUUAUCCACUGUAUCAACCACUUUGCUUGAGCCUUGAACCUUGAGCCUUGAGCCUUUCUCCCCACCACCACCCUUCAUUCUUUUUCUUUCUUUUUUCUUUCUUUCUUUUUUUUUCUUUUUUUUCUUUUUUUUUUUUUUCUUAAACAAUUUCGUAAUUAAUUGUUGAGCCCGGGUUUGUAAUGGAAACAAUCCUGCGAGGCCGGAUGGUUGUUAUGAUUUUCUUUCUUUAGCGCUUCUCCCCCUUCGCAAGCAUUGUUCGUGGUGACUGUCUGGGCUCAGAUAUGAUGUUGGGACAGCGCCUCCCUUGAAAUGGAAACAGAGGCCUGAAUAAAGGAGGGUGGAAAAAAAGUACUUUGUAGUCUGCAUCGUCCAUCUUUAAUUCAGAGACGCAUCUAUACUCCUGGGAGCGCCGCCUUUGAUCUCUUUGAUUUUUACACCAGAUCUGUUAUGGACUAAAAUUCCUAGGUUUUCCAUAGAAACAUCUCCAUUCCUUCGGGAUAUUGAUGUUUUCUUCUUCCUAGGGGUUAUGAUAUGGUAAAUCAGAUUCAGAAAAGCAUGGACAAUGCCAGCAUUCAUGGGUCGGGGGGCGGGGGUGGGGGGGCGGGAGCCUCUCUCUCUUCUCCCAAUGAAUCAAAAUAUUGUUUAUUCUGUUGCUCUUUAAGCCCAGUCACUUCAGCUGCCUUUCAGUGCCUUCAACUCUGGAAGAGGGGCAGCAGCAGCAGCAGCAGCAGGUUGCGUUGCCAUGGGGACCCUACUGUAUGGCAGCAGCGCCAGCCCCAAAGACAAUGCCUCGCAAAGGGGCUUGAAAAGUGAGGUUUCUCCCUUUGCCACGCAGCCACUUCCGAUGGAGCAAGCAUUCUCCUUUCGGGACCCUCAUCUUGUCACUAGAACAAUGUCUAUCUUCGCCUGCCAAUUUUUUUUCUCUAUCCUGCCUUUGAUCUAUAAAAAAUCAAAAGAACAAAGUCAGGGGAGAAUAGGGGGCUUUUUUUGUUGUUGAUGCACAGAACAGGCUUUUAUAAUUUGGGUCUACUUUUGUGCCUGAGGAUUGCAGGGGCAGGGAAGGAGGGUAGCUGAUUUGUGUGCUGGGCUCCCUCCGGCCCUGCCGACCCCAGGCAUGGCGUGUGCCAAAGGACCCCCCCCCUCUCCCUCCUCCCCGGAGCAGCUUGAGUCUGGCCGGGUGCUGCCCAGCCCUCUGUCCCCUGCCCUUAGCCCUAAGGGUUUUGCUGCAGGCUGGGACCUUCCCACCACCAGGCCCAGGCUGCCAUUGGAAGGCACUGACCCUGCCCGGGUCGGUGGGACUGCCCAAGCCUACUGCUUAAUGCUGGUAUCAGUAACAGAGAUGGGUGCAGAAACAGCAGCAUACCCGUUGCAGUAGAUUUUAAUGCAUUAUGCAAAUGGAUGCUUUUUUUCCAAUUAAUGGUUUUGUGUGAGUAUUAGAGAAAUCAACGUGUCACUAAUGUUUCUUCCUUAGAAAUCAGAUGAAUCUGGACAGCGUGGGGCCCUGAAAUGCUAUCGUGGCUUUACACAACACUAAGCCAAAGAAACAGGGGUGUCCAUGCAUGUGUUUGACUUCUCUGUUAGUAAGCAGCAACAGGCAUUGUCACACGUGUGUAGGGCAGGCUAUAAAUAACCCUGGAAGGAAAACCGAGUCCAGCUUUGGUUCCUUCCAUGAGGACAAGUGGCUGGUUGGGCUCACAUGUCACAGUAGGCAUGUAACCCCCUGGAAUUAACCCUAAUCACAUGGCUUGGUUCCUUGCCUCACUU